CCUUUCCAGGCUGCUGUGAUGGAUGCACAUCAUUCCCAGGCGGAGAGCAUCUCAAACAGUAAUGAAAGCACCGCACAAAGAGCUGCUCUGUAAGUGAUGCAAAUAAUUCUUGGGCAAAGCCCCGUGCGUGGCAGGGAUGAGGCAAUGAUGUCAUUUUGCUUCCCAGUGAGAUUCCCUGAAGGAUACAGCUGCCUUUCCAUGCCAGUGCCAGGAUUUGCACAAGGGGAGCACGAGAGGAUGGAGAACACCAGAAAAAACCACAGUAUUACAGAGCACGAAC